GAUAAAGAACGUAGCGAAAUGCGAUAAGUAAUGUGAAUUGCAGAAUUCAGUGAAUCAUCGAAUCUUUGAACGCACAUUGCGCCCCCUGGUAUUCCGGGGGGCAUGCCUGUCCGAGCGUCAUUACAACCCUCAAGCUCAGCUUGGUGUUGGGCCCCGCCGCCCCGGCGGGCCCUAAAGUCAGUGGCGGUGCCGUCCGGCUCCGAGCGUAGUAAUUCUUCUCGCUCUGGAGGUCCGGUCGUGUGCUCGCCAGCAACCCCCAAUUUUUUUCAGGUUGACCUCGGAUCAGGUAGGGAUACCCGCUGAACUUAAGCAUAUCAAUAAGCGGAGGA
rnacentral:misc_RNA from 1 species